AAUAGAGGUUGCGGCUUUCAAGAGUAGUGCGGUGAGGGCUCCGCUGGCCCGGUGAACUGGUACGAAAGGGAACGCCGCCGAAGGGGCGGCCCGCUGCGGAGGGGUCCUCUCUGGGCGCCGGGCGAACAGUUCGGCGACUGUCGCCGCGGAAUGCGGUGGAGUGCUGUCUG
rnacentral:ncRNA from 1 species